rnacentral:rRNA from 1 species
AGAGUUUGAUCCUGGCUCAGGAUGAACGCUAGCUACAGGCUUAACACAUGCAAGUCGUGCGGGAUGCUUCGGCAUCCAGCGGCAAACGGGUGAGUAACACGUAUCCAACCUGGCCCACACACGGGGAUAGCCCCUCGAAAGAGAGAUUAAUACCCGAUGUUCUGUACAGUCCGCAUGUUCAGUACAGCAAAGGCUUCGGCCGGUAUGGGAUGGGGAUGCGUUCCAUUAGGUAGUAGGCGGGGCAACGGCCCACCUAGCCUGUGAUGGAUAGGGGUUCUGAGAGGAAGGUCCCCCACAUUGGAACUGCGACACGGUCCAAACUCCUACGGGAGGCAGCAGUGAGGAAUAUUGGUCAAUGGACGGGAGUCUGAACCAGCCAAGUAGCGUGAGGGAUGACGGCCAUAUGGUUGUAAACCUCUUUUGCGAGGGAAUAAAGUGCGUCACGUGUGGUGCAUUGCAUGUACCUUGCGAAUAAGGAUCGGCUAACUCCGUGCCAGCAGCCGCGGUAAUACGGAGGAUCCGAGCGUUAUCCGGAUUUAUUGGGUUUAAAGGGUGCGUAGGCGGUAAGGUAAGUCAGCGGUGAAAUGUCCUCGCUUAACGAGGGAACUGCCGUUGAUACUGUUUUACUUGAAUUCGGAUGCCGUGGGAGGAAUGUGUAGUGUAGCGGUGAAAUGCAUAGAUAUUACACAGAACACCGAUUGCGAAGGCAUCUCACGAAUCCGACAUUGACGCUGAGGCACGAAAGUGUGGGGAUCAAACAGGAUUAGAUACCCUGGUAGUCCACACUGUAAACGAUGAUAACUAACCGUUGGCGAUAUACAGUCAGUGGCCAAGCGAAAGCGAUAAGUUACCCACCUGGGGAGUACGUUCGCAAGAAUGAAACUCAAAGGAAUUGACGGGGGCCCGCACAAGCGGAGGAACAUGUGGUUUAAUUCGAUGAUACGCGAGGAACCUUACCCGGGCUCGAACGGCAGACGAACGAUACAGAGAUGUAAAGGCCAGCAAUGGCGUCUGUCGAGGUGCUGCAUGGUUGUCGUCAGCUCGUGCCGUGAGGUGUCGGCUUAAGUGCCAUAACGAGCGCAACCCUUGUUGUCAGUUGCCAUCAGGUAAAGCUGGGGACUCUGGCGAGACUGCCACCGUAAGGUGUGAGGAAGGGGGGGAUGACGUCAAAUCAGCACGGCCCUUACGUCCGGGGCGACACACGUGUUACAAUGGUGGGUACAGAAGGCCGCUACCUGGUGACAGGAUGCCAAUCUUCAAAACCCAUCUCAGUUCGGAUUGGAGUCUGCAACUCGACUCCAUGAAGUUGGAUUCGCUAGUAAUCGCGCAUCAGCCAUGGCGCGGUGAAUACGUUCCCGGGCCUUGCACUCAACGCCCGUCAAG